rnacentral:rRNA from 1 species
ACGGGGUGCAGCAGGCGCGAAAACUUCACAAUGGGAGAAAUCCCGAUGAGGGAAUACCAAGUGCCAGCACUUUUGUGUUGGCUGUUCUCCUGUCUAAAAAACAGGAGAAGUAAGGGCCGGGUAAGACGGGUGCCAGCCGCCGCGGUAAUACCCGCGGCCCGAGUGGUGGUCGAUAUUAUUGAGCCUAAAACGUCCGUAGCCGGUCUCAUAGAUCCUUGGGUAAAUCGGCCAGCUUAACUGUCCGAAGUCCGAGGAGACUGUGAGACUUGGGAUCGGGAGAGGUCAGAGGUACUUCUGGGGUAGGGGUAAAAUCCUGUAAUCCUGGAAGGACCACCGGUGGCGAAGGCGUCUGACUAGAACGAAUUCGACGGUGAGGGACGAAGCCCUGGGGCGCAAACGGGAUUAGAUACCCCGGUAGUCCAGGGUGUAAACGCUGCGGGCUUGGUGUUGGGGGUCCUUUGUGGGCGCCCAGUGCCGGAGAGAAGUUGUUAAGCCUGCUGCUUGGGGAGUACGUCCGCAAGGAUGAAACUUAAAGGAAUUGGCGGGGGAGCAC